GGUUUCCGUAGGUGAACCUGCGGAAGGAUCAUUACCGAGUGCGGGUCCUUUGGGCCCAACCUCCCAUCCGUGUCUAUUAUACCCUGUUGCUUCGGCGGGCCCGCCGCUUGUCGGCCGCCGGGGGGGCGCCUUUGCCCCCCGGGCCCGUGCCCGCCGGAGACCCCAACACGAACACUGUCUGAAAGCGUGCAGUCUGAGUUGAUUGAAUGCAAUCAGUUAAAACUUUCAACAAUGGAUCUCUUGGUUCCGGCAUCGAUGAAGAACGCAGCGAAAUGCGAUAACUAAUGUGAAUUGCAGAAUUCAGUGAAUCAUCGAGUCUUUGAACGCACAUUGCGCCCCCUGGUAUUCCGGGGGGCAUGCCUGUCCGAGCGUCAUUGCUGCCCUCAAGCCCGGCUUGUGUGUUGGGUCGCCGUCCCCCUCUCCGGGGGGACGGGCCCGAAAGGCAGCGGCGGCACCGCGUCCGAUCCUCGAGCGUAUGGGGCUUUGUCACAUGCUCUGUAGGAUUGGCCGGCGCCUGCCGACGUUUUCCAACCAUUCUUUCCAGGUUGACCUCGGAUCAGGUAGGGAUACCCGCUGAACUUAAGCAU
rnacentral:rRNA from 1 species